GGAAUAUAACUCAGUGGUAGAGAGCCUGCCUAGCAUACAGGAGAUACUAGGUUUGAUCCCCAGCACCA
rnacentral:tRNA from 1 species